UUUCCCUCCAUAGUAGUUGUCCUUGUCAAUUUGCAUUAUUGUUGGUUGAGCUUCGUCAUUCUGUUCUUACAAGAAAUCCCAUAAAUCAUCUAAUCUCGCUCUUGUCUAGCUCUUUUGUUGCAAUACUCGAACACUACAACCCUUUUGUUGCAAUACUCAAACACUACAACUCUGACACAAAGAAUAUAAUUGUGUUAAUGUAAACUGGGAUAUGGAAUCUAGAAGAUCCUUUCGAAUUCUGUCAUAUCUGAUUUUGAACUUGAUCUUUGUGGCUUUUGAAUGAAUGAAAAAGAAGGAAAUGAAUCUAUUUAAUGGAAGGAAUGGCUACUUUAGUUUGUGUUUUGUGAGAGUAUAAAAGUCUUAUUUUUCUGUUUCAGGAUAAGAAAUUAACUUUACCAACAGAUGCAGAUGAUGACCAGCCCUCUCAUCCUGUUGAAGCUGAAAUAAAAUGAUCUCAUCAAGUUAAUUCUCUAUGGUUUGAGGCUUGAGAAGCUUUCGAAAGAUCCAAGUAAAGGAAAUGCAUGGCAUUCUGGUCACAUUGCUUUUGGAAGAUAUCAAUUUUUAAUUGUAGUAACCUCUAAG